UGGCAGGCAAAUUGCCUACAGGCUUCAUGUUUCUGAUUGUUCUGGUUCUUUUCAUAAGUGUAAAUGUGGAUUAGAUAAUACAAAUUUAAAGUGUUGAAAAGAAGACCUGGGUCUUUAUUUCUCAUGGUCAUUGUUGGUCUUUUCCUUUCUUCAUUCUAGGGUGACCAAGGACAGGCUGGGCCUCCAGGACCUCCAGGCCCCCCUGGCCCAAGAGGGCCUCCAGGGGACACAGGGAAAGAUGGCCCCCGUGGAAUGCCAGGAGUGCCUGGUGAACCAGGGAAACCAGGAGAGCAAGGCUUGAUGGGUCCUCUGGGGCCUCCGGGACAAAAGGGUUCUGUUGGAGUACCUGGAAUUCCAGGAGUGAAUGGUCAAAAGGUA
rnacentral:lncRNA from 1 species